UACAGAGGUCUCAAGCGUUGUUCGGAUUCAUUGGGCGUAAAGGGUGCGUAGGCGGCGCGGUAAGUCGGGGUGUGAAAUCUCGGAGCUUAACUCCGAAACUGCAUUCGAUACUGCCGUGCUUGAGGACUGGAGAGGAGACUGGAAUUUUACGGUGUAGCGGUGAAAUGCGUAGAUAUCGUAAGGAAGACCAGUGGCGAAGGC
rnacentral:rRNA from 1 species